AGUGAACGCUGGCGGUAGGCCUAACACAUGCAAGUCGAACGGCAGCACAGUAAGAGCUUGCUCUUACGGGUGGCGAGUGGCGGACGGGUGAGGAAUACAUCGGAAUCUACUUUUUCGUGGGGGAUAACGUAGGGAAACUUACGCUAAUACCGCAUACGACCUACGGGUGAAAGCAGGGGAUCUUCGGACCUUGCGCGAUUGAAUGAGCCGAUGUCGGAUUAGCUAGUUGGCGGGGUAAAGGCCCACCAAGGCGACGAUCCGUAGCUGGUCUGAGAGGAUGAUCAGCCCACGUGGAAAUGAGACACGGCCCAACCUCCUACGGGAGGCAGCGGGGGGGAAUAUUGGACAAUGGGCGCAAGCCUGAUCCAGCCAUACCGGGGGGGUGAAGAAGGCCUUCGGGUUGUAAAGCCCUUUUUUGGGGAAAAAAAAGCAGCAGGUUAACACCCCGCUGUUCUGACGGUACCCAAAGAAUAAGCACCGGCUAACUUCGU
rnacentral:rRNA from 1 species